CCUGGCUCAGGAUGAACGCUAGCUACAGGCUUAACACAUGCAAGUCGAGGGGCAUCAGGAAGAAAGCUUGCUUUCUUUGCUGGCGACCGGCGCACGGGUGAGUAACACGUAUCCAACCUGCCCUUUACUCGGGGAUAGCCUUUCGAAAGAAAGAUUAAUACCCGAUAGCAUAAUGAUUCCGCAUGGUUUCAUUAUUAAAGGAUUCCGGUAAAGGAUGGGGAUGCGUUCCAUUAGGUUGUUGGUGAGGUAACGGCUCACCAAGCCUUCGAUGGAUAGGGGUUCUGAGAGGAAGGUCCCCCACAUUGGAACUGAGACACGGUCCAAACUCCUACGGGAGGCAGCAGUGAGGAAUAUUGGUCAAUGGGCGCUAGCCUGAACCAGCCAAGUAGCGUGAAGGAUGAAGGCUCUAUGGGUCGUAAACUUCUUUUAAUAAGAAUAAGUGCAGUAUGUAUACUGUUUUGUAUGUAUUAUAUGAAUAAGGAUCGGCUAACUCCGUGCCAGCAGCCGCGGUAAUACGAGGAUCCGAGCGUUAUCCGGAUUUAUUGGGUUUAAAGGGAGCGUAGGUGGACUGGUAAGUCAGUUGUGAAAGUUUGCGGCUCAACCGUAAAAUUGCAGUUGAUACUGUCAGUCUUGAGUACAGUAGAGGUGGGCGGAAUUCGUGGUGUAGCGGUGAAAUGCUUAGAUAUCACGAAGAACUCCGAUUGCGAAGGCAGCUCACUGGACUGCAACUGACACUGAUGCUCGAAAGUGUGGGUAUCAAACAGGAUUAGAUACCCUGGUAGUCCACACAGUAAACGAUGAAUACUCGCUGUUUGCGAUAUACAGUAAGCGGCCAAGCGAAAGCAUUAAGUAUUCCACCUGGGGAGUACGCCGGCAACGGUGAAACUCAAAGGAAUUGACGGGGGCCCGCACAAGCGGAGGAACAUGUGGUUUAAUUCGAUGAUACGCGAGGAACCUUACCCGGGCUUAAAUUGCAGUGGAAUGAUGUGGAAACAUGUCAGUGAGCAAUCACCGCUGUGAAGGUGCUGCAUGGUUGUCGUCAGCUCGUGCCGUGAGGUGUCGGCUUAAGUGCCAUAACGAGCGCAACCCUUAUCUUUAGUUACUAACAGGUCAUGCUGAGGACUCUAGAGAGACUGCCGUCGUAAGAUGUGAGGAAGGUGGGGAUGACGUCAAAUCAGCACGGCCCUUACGUCCGGGGCUACACACGUGUUACAAUGGGGGGUACAGAAGGCAGCUAGCGGGUGACCGUAUGCUAAUCCCAAAAUCCUCUCUCAGUUCGGAUCGAAGUCUGCAACCCGACUUCGUGAAGCUGGAUUCGCUAGUAAUCGCGCAUCAGCCACGGCGCGGUGAAUACGUUCCCGGGCCUUGUACACACCGC
rnacentral:rRNA from 1 species